UACGAAGGGGGCAAGCGUUGUUCGGAAUUACUGGGCGUAAAGGGCGCGUAGGCGGCUUAUCAAGUCAGGCGUGAAAUUCCCGGGCUCAACCUGGGGGGCUGCGCUUGAUACUGAUUGGCUUGAAUGCGGGAGAGGAUAGUGGAAUUCCCAGUGUAGAGGUGAAAUUCGUAGAUAUUGGGAAGAACACCCGGUGGCGAAGGCGGCUAUCUGGCCGUAAUUGACGCUGAGGAGCGAAAAGCGUGGGGAG
rnacentral:rRNA from 1 species